UAGUUGGUGAGGUAAUGGCUCACCAAGGCUAUGACGCAUAACUGGUCUGAGAGGAUGAUCAGUCACACUGGAACUGAGACACGGUCCAGACUCCUACGGGAGGCAGCAGUAGGGAAUAUUGCUCAAUGGGGGAAACCCUGAAGCAGCAACGCCGCGUGGAGGAUGACACUUUUCGGAGCGUAAACUCCUUUUGUUAGGGAAGAACAAUGACGGUACCUAACGAAUAAGCACCGGCUAACUCCGUGCCAGCAGCCGCGGUAAUACGGAGGGUGCAAGCGUUACUCGGAAUCACUGGGCGUAAAGGACGCGUAGGCGGAUUAUCAAGUCUUUUGUGAAAUCUAAUGGCUCAACCAUUAAACUGC
rnacentral:rRNA from 1 species